GAUGAACGCUGGCGGCGUGCCUAAUACAUGCAAGUAGAACGCUGAAGGAGGAGCUUGCUCUUCUGGAUGAGUUGCGAACGGGUGAGUAACGCGUAGGUAACCUGCCUGGUAGCGGGGGAUAACUAUUGGAAACGAUAGCUAAUACCGCAUAACAGUAGAUAUUGCAUGAUAUCUGCUUGAAAGGUGCAAUUGCAUCACUACCAGAUGGACCUGCGUUGUAUUAGCUAGUUGGUGAGGUAACGGCUCACCAAGGCGACGAUACAUAGCCGACCUGAGAGGGUGAUCGGCCACACUGGGACUGAGACACGGCCCAGACUCCUACGGGAGGCAGCAGUAGGGAAUCUUCGGCAAUGGACGGAAGUCUGACCGAGCAACGCCGCGUGAGUGAAGAAGGUUUUCGGAUCGUAAAGCUCUGUUGUAAGAGAAGAACGAGUGUGAGAGUGGAAAGUUCACACUGUGACGGUAUCUACCA
rnacentral:rRNA from 1 species